rnacentral:rRNA from 1 species
UGGGGGAUAUUGCACAAUGGGCGAAAGCCUGAUGCAGCGACGCCACGUGGGGGAUGAAGGCUUUCGGGUUGUAAACCUCUUUCGCUAUCGAACAAGGCCCGCUUAGGGUGGGUUGAGGGUAGGUGGAGAAGAAGCGCCGGCUAACUACGUGCCAGCAGCCGCGGUAAUACGUAGGGCGCGAGCGUUGUCCGGAAUUAUUGGGCGUAAAGGGCUUGUAGGCGGCUUGUUGCGCUUGCUGUGAAAACGCGGGGCUUAACUUCGCGCGUGCAGUGGGUACGGGCAGGCUUGAGUGUGGUAGGGGUGACUGGAAUUCCAGGUGUAGCGGUGGAAUGCGCAGAUAUCUGGAGGAACACCGAUGGCGAAGGCAGGUCACUGGGCCAUUACUGACGCUGAGGAGCGAAAGCAUGGGUAGCGAACAGG